ensembl:lincRNA
UUUGAUCUGCUAUUUCGGGUGACCUAGUCCCUGUUAGUUCUUGACAGUCCAGGAGGCGCCUGGUAGGUGGAGAAUCUUCCCCUUUCUCCUCCACAAACUUGACCCUUGUGGAGAAGGCAGCCUGGAAUCUGCUGGGUUCUGAAUGUCUCCGCCUUUUCUCCAGCGUGCGUCCCACAGAUUCAUUUAAAUGUUCACUGAGUCCUUCGUCUGUGCUGCACGUUGCUUGCGUGGUGGAAAUAAAUGAGAAGUAGAAGCUGCGCCUGGCCUGAAGGCGCCCUGGGUCACUCUUGGGGAAACAGAGUGCCCACUGUUGAUGCUCACCAAGGUUCCGAGCCUGUGGAUCUUGGACCUGGACCCGAGAGAGCCCAGAACCACAGGAGCAGCAGAAGGGCUGGAGCGUCGCACAACAACUGUGGGCCCGCGGUGGCUCUGGAGCCAGUCGGCGUGACUCUGCCAUUAGCUCUGUCCCCUUGCCACGGCCCCCCAGCCUUCCUGAGCUGGCUCUGCAGGCCCCAGCUUCCUGGUGCGGCUCUGAGUUCAGUUUAUGUGGAAAGUGAGCGGCUGACCUCCGACCUGGGCCUCCAUCUGGGGAGCGUGGUCACGUGGAGAUGCUCCCGCGGGGGGAAGAGUCGCUUCCCAGAUGUGAUUUUAAGGAUCAUCGUGAGAAACUAACGGUGGCAAAGUGACCAUUUUUCUGCGGUUGUAAACUGACAAAUGGAAAACAGUCAUCCCUUGAUUAUCUGUGUAAAUCGUCAGGUUUUAUUUCUCUGAGUGCAAUAGGAAGUUUCUUUGUUUUACUUUUCCCUGUCAAGGAGCCAAUUAAAUCAGACUUCCCUGUGCAGGCAGGUCCAGCUGUCAGGGACUUGCUCCAUCAGCCCCUGUCAUCCAUGAAUGGGAAAUUAAUCAGCGCCGUUCGGGAGAAAACUCCCACUCAACACCACGGCCUUUCUUUCCUCCCUGAUUGUGAUUUCAUACCUUUUAUGUAAAGCAGACUUCAGAGCCUCCACCUAUUUAAGGAAUUUUUCAAUUAACAUUUCUUUUCCUCAAGAGAGACCAGAGCCUUUGGUUCUCCACAAAGGCUGGCUUUACUUUUCCUAUCACAAAUGUGCCCAGGUCAGUCCCCGCAGGCUGAGGGCCUAUUAUUUGGCAUUGAUGAUUUUGUUUAACGACCCCCCCUCCCCCUAAUCAAUAGCUGAUCAGUGCACAGCAGGGAGGUCUCUGCUUUAAAUCCACUGCUCUUCAGGCGAAAAUCGUCUCCUUUGAAUAAAAACACGCCUCGGUUGAAUGUUAAACCCAUCUAAUUGGCGGUGUUUUUAAAGAAAGCACAGACAAGAGAUAUCAGGAAAACCACCACAACAAAAUCUGUAAAAGCUUCUUUUACUGUUGGUGGAAUCUUGUGUUUAUUUCCAAAUAGACAUUUUUUAUUGUCACUUUUUUUUGAAUGUUUUGUUAAUUGAUCCUUUAAUGGAGUCAUCGUUUACUUCAAAUAAAAUCCUAUUGUAUUAAAUCUUUUACAGAUUUUAAAAUCUUCUCCCAGAGUCUAAUCAAAUCUGCUAGCAAAGAUUUAAUAAGAGCAGUAUCCAGUCUGACAAGCAAAAUUUAGUGGAGAAUUCAACUAAUUUUGCUGAAAAACUCACUGCUUUACUUUACGGGAACGUCUAACAACUCCGUUCUGUGCUAAGGGUCUUUGGUCAGUCUUGUAUGUUUAAAACCACAGUUAGAACCAGCAGGACAAAGAGCGACUCAACAGGGAGACAGAUGAUCCUGGCCACAAAGCCAGGGAGUUGAGGCAGCGGUCAGGGUGGCCACAGCCUCCCCAGCAGCCCCGCGCGGUCCCGGCGGCCAGAGACGGCCAGUAAGGAGGCUGCUGGCCAUGCACAGACGCUGCUGCCCUGAUUUCAGAGACCGAGAGGACGGGAGAAAAGCAGCAUCUGAUGUUAAAGUGGAGGCAUUUCUUGCAUUCUUGACUUGGUCAGCUUGAUUAUGGAAGCCUAACACAGGGUAAGCCUUCUGCCCGGGAAGCUUGGUGAGUCCGAGUGGUCCUUUGAUACGUGAUUAUUCUCCGCACUUGAAAUAAGUGUGCUAACCUUUUUUUUUGUUCCCUGAAAGGGGCUUGUUUCUGAAGUAAUUUUGGAGUCCACUUAAUAUGCAGGGUAAACAAAUCUGCAAUUCUUUCUUACUUCACUUUGUUUCUGUAGUGCGUGUUGCUGCGAUAUUUGCUUUCGUAAAGCUGCGAUUUCAGCAUGACACAUUAAAAAGGAGGGCAAAGGAUGCUCUUUUUGACAAAAGGAAAUCCACAGAAAAUCAAGAGUCGUUAAUAAAAUAAAGGCCUUUGUGUCUUCC